UGAACCUGGAGUAUCAGCCCAGCUCAGGCACCUUGGCAGAAUGGAUCCAGAGAAGCACAGUCAGAGGAGGGAGUAUGAAGAACCAGAGAGGUACAGUCGGCGGAGGGAGUACGGAGGACCGAGCUCAGGACAAUGGGACGAUAGCUUUGAGAAGAGAGGCAAUGGCCAGGCUAUGCCCCGAGAGCCCUACAGUGAAUACUCCAGCAUGAGGCGAACUAGAGAAGGUGGGAAGGAGUAUGGUGCUUCCUCUGCUAUGAGCUACAUCAUGUACCCAUCAUCCAGAGACUGGAGCAAAGGCUCAUUGAGGGGUAGCAGUGGUCCCUUCUCCCCAGACACAGAUAGGGACAUUGAUGGAGAUCCUGUGGUGCUCAGUGUGGAGGACCUGGAACUCGCUCGUAAGAAGAACGAGUUGAAGGUCAUAGAGGAAAAGAUAGCUCGCAAGAAAGCUGUUCUUGCUCUGCAAAAAGUUAAACGCAGAGCUAAGGACAUGCCUGAAACACAGGCUGCAUCCGCAACAGCGAAGGGCAUGUCUAAACAGAGGAAGGUAAACGAUACAACAUUCCAAAGAUACAGUAAUGUCGCGGACCAGUCGUCACGCAUAUGCCUACCUCUUAAACGGAGGGUGCUGGACAUUCUGAGUAAGCUCAGAAGAACACCGGUACGGUACCUACUGCGUAAGGAUACCCCUGCCAAGCUGAAGAAACAAAACAAGAUGCGAGCAUUGGAGCUGAUGAUUAGCGCUCCCCUAGAAAAUGAAGAGGCCCAUCCUCUGAGACUGAGAGUGAAGGGUUUAAUGAACCAACGACGCUCUCCCAACAAUGAGGUGGUCGCUAAUGAUAAACAACAUAAUCCAACCAUUCAGAGGCCAGUUCACUCACUCAGGACACAGAAGAAAGACAUAGCAGCCACAGGCUUCCAGCGCUUCCUUAAUGUCCUCAAUGAAGGUGUGGACCUCACCAAGCUCUCAAAGAUCGUCAACGACGAAAAUGAGCAACUCAUUGUGGGCGAGGAGCUACCACAAGUUUGGCCGACUCGGCUCGAGGGUCAUGUUGACUACAGCAGUAGGUCCAAGUCUUCUCCAUUUGAGGAGAAGAAGGUGAGGCUUGAGGAUGAGCAGCGGUACGAGCGGAUGCAGACCCUGCUGGAGAUUGUUGGGCUGGACUUGGGGGUUGAGGAGUUGGGUCGGCUGACAGACAGGACCAAUGAUAGGCUAUAUGGAAAGAUGGGAGACUUGAAAAGGGACAGAGCCAGAGAAGGGGAAAGUCCUGCGAGAGAGAGAUGCAGGCAAAGAUGCUCUAGUACCAGAGACAAGGACAGAGUCAGAGAAAGAGACAGAUCUGAGAGAAACCGAAAGGGAGACGGGCACAGACACUCUAGUACCAGAGAGAGAGACAAGGACAUACCGGUAGUCAGAGAAACAAACAGAUCAGAAAGGAACAGAGAUAAAGACGGGGACGGAGGCCGAGAGAGAGACCGGGACAGAUCUAGGAGAGACGGGGGCAGAGACUUAGAGAAAAGCAGAGACGGAGGCCGAGAGAAAGACCGGGACAGAUCUGAGAGAGACAGAAAACGAGAGAUAGCCAAGGAUUUAGACAGGUGGCUGCAAAGGACCAGAGACGGAGACAAACGUUCUAGGACCAGAGACUGGGACAGAGAGAGAUCUGAGAGGGAUGGGUAUGGGGAUGAGUCCAGGGAACGCUCCAUUGAGCUCUACUCAUACUCCAUGGACUCUAUAUUCCCUGUUUCUCAUCCCCAUGCAUCUAUGAUGGCUACCUACUCCACCACCCAGUACUCUCAGUAUAUGGCAUACCACAGCAGCCCCUACACCAUGGCCUUCCCUCCAGGGUGGGGUUAUCCCACCGGUACCAUGCCCGUUGGUAUUAUGCCCCCUGGUAUCAUGCCCCCUGGUACCAUGCUUCCUGGAAUCAUGCCAGCUGGUGCCAUGCUGCCUAGUAACAAGCCCCGCCAACCUAACCCCCCUGGGUAUCCACCCUACACCAACUUCCCCCCAUAUUACUCUAAUGGUACCACAGCCUUAAACCAGACAUACACAUACACCCAGCCUGCCAGCACUCGAGCAGUCUUAAGUCAGAGAUGCACAUACAUCCAACCCACUAGAAAUCGCAGGAAAAAGACACAGAAGCAUGCCCGAGGGAAAGUGUCCUGUCAGAUGGUGACAAAGAAGUCCCCCGCGGUUUUGACCACUCAGAUAGCGACAAAGAAGUCCCCCCCCGAACCAGGGUCCAAGAUUAAAGCAAAAAGGAGAAACAAUCUAUUCUUCACAGGUAUAUUCAUGAAGAGUUAUCACAGUCAUCUAAGGAAGUUCCAGUAUUAUUUGAAACGGCUUGCGAAGAGGAGGAACAAGGUUCACCAGCGCAAAAGAAAGCGAUUGCUUGCAGAAGCAGCAGGGAAAGUGGCCCCUCACUUCCCCUUUGAACCGGAGCCCAAGAAAGACGGGGAGAAACUACAUGCUGACACUUCUGAAGAAGUGGUUCCUCAGGAAGCUGCAAAUAAUUUGGAGGCACCAUCUGAAACAGGGCCUAAGAAAGAACCAGAAGGUGAGAAACUACAUGCUGACACUUCUGAAGAAGUGGUUCCUCAGGAAGCUGCAAAUAAUUUGGAGGCACCAUCUGAAACAGGGCCUAAGAAAGAACCAGAAGGUGAGAAACUACAUGCUGACACUGCUGAAGAAGUGGUCCCUCAGGAAGCUGCAAAGAAUGUGGAGACACCAUCUGAAAUGGGGCCUAAGAAAGAACCAGAAGGUGAGAAACUACAUGCUGAUGCUGCAGAGAAAGUGGCUCCUCAGGUGACUGCAAUGGACACUGCGGCCCCCUCUGAAAUGGGCCCCAAGAAAAAAAAGUUGUAUCCAGGUAUCUUCAUGAAGAUUCUAAUGAGAAGUCUAAAGAGGCAUCAGUGCAAGAUAAAAGGGAAGAAGAAGCAUUUUGCAAAGAGGAGGAAAAAGGCUUUCCAGUACAAAGGGAAGAGACCAUUGGUAGACACUAAGAAAAAAGUGCCUCUUCUAGAGGUUGCAAUGGACUCUGGGAACCCCUCUGAACCAUGGCCCAAGAAAAAGAAAAAAAAGAAAACACUAGAGGAAAAAGGAGGUAUAUACUACCCAGGGAUAUUCAUAAGGGUACACAGAACCUAUUUAACAAGGGGGAAACUGGCAAAGGCAAAAGCAGCUGCUGAAGGCACUGAGGCCAUUUCUGAACCAGCACCCACGAUUGAAGGGGGGGAAGGAAUGACAGAAGGGGAGGAACUGCUUGCAGACACAUUAGAGAAAAGGGUUCCUCAAGUGGCUACAAAUGACUCUGGGCUUCCCCCUGAACCAGGGCCCAACAAAGAACCAGAAAGAGAGGAAGAAACUAUGUUAGAAGAGGAGAAACUGCUUGCAGAUCAUGUGGCGAAAGUGUCUGUAAAGGGCCCUCCGGUCCUCUUGGAACCAAAGGCUGAGAAAGACCGAGAAGGAGAGGACGAUGCAAUUAUAGAUGGUGAGAAACUGCUAGCAGACCCUGUGGAGAAAGUGGCUAUAACGGACCCUGGCUUGCUCUCUGAACCAGAGGCUGAGAAGGAGACAAGGGGAGAAACAACCAGUGGCAUGAUAAUUAAUGAAGGAAAAAUAAGCUUGAAGAGUUCAACCUGAAGAUGGGCACGCCUAACACGGCCUCAAAGGAUGGCUAGCUGUUAUCUUCACUUGGCAUCAUGAGCUCAUCGCACACUAGAAUUGAACCUGCUGCAUCCAGACCCUAUGGACAUCAGUUGGCUUCAUUCUUACCUAUCAACCAUUUAAUAGAUUUGUAAUCACAAAAAAAUUAUUUGUUAAAGUUUAGCCUCAUCCUUAAAUGCUUCGUAUUGAAUUUAUUUUCAGCGUAAUUUAUUGAUAUUGUGUGUGGGGUAUGGGUAGGGUCUAGCACAUUCAUAUAUGCUAAGUACCUUUAGCGCCUAUUGAUGAUAGUAUCUUCUGGCCGGGGGAGUUUAAUUAAGAGCACCGACCAUUGCACUAAAAGUUAAUACGCAUCACUUGCGUCCUGAUUUUGGAACAUAAGGAACUAUCUUUCAUAUCAGCGUUGGACAAAAAUGCACAUUUAUUGGGUUAGGGUUCCCACACGGCCAUAUUUCCAUGUUACAGUGCUUGUUUACGGAAAACGCAUGGAAGACUGAGUCGACUACCUUUGCUAAUUACCGAUCUGCAUCUCCAACACCCUGUGUGUAAACGGAAGAUGGACGCCACAAACUCGUUGUCACUGAAAGAUACUGUCGGCUGCAACUGUUAAAACCGGUUUUAUAAACUGGGUGGUUUGAGGCCUGAAUUCUGAUUGGCUGAAAGCCAUGGUAUAUCAGACCAUAUACCAUGGGUAUGACUAAACGUUUAGUUUUACUGCUCUAAUUACAUUGGUAACCAGUUUAUAAUAGCAAUAAGGCUACUCUGGGGUUUGUAAUGUGGGGCCAAUAUACCACGGCUAAGGGCUGUGUCCAGGCACUCCGUGUGGCGUCGUGCUUAAGAACAGUCCUUAGCCCUGGUAUAUUGGCCAUAUACCACAACUCCUCGGGCCUUAUUGCUUAAAUAACAGAGUAAGUGUACAUUUUGCAUAUGAAAGUAGAUGGCUUGAUGUUUCUAGAACCGUACUGCAAUUAGAUGGAGUAUUUGGCUGCCAGAGACAAUUUAGCUGUUCUAAACCAAAUAAGGGCGUGGAGUUUAUUUGGUCUGGUCAUGUGGUCAAGAAAAAUUCCUGGCCCUAGAUAUAGUACAUGUGUAUCAAUGCGAUGAAAAUGCUAUUGACGGCAUUAUGUUUGUAAGUUGUCAUGCCUGAUAGCUAAAAGUAAGAACUGCCCAUGUUUCAUUCCCCAGUGCAGUCAGCCCUCCUAUUUCUAUAGAUCUUUCACUUUGUAAAUAUGUAAUUGAAUAAAAUAUUUGGUCUAUUGUAAGUGUGUAGUGUAUCAUAUUUGAAAUGAACUUCAACCCAUUGAGCUUCACAUUCCUUUUCAGGGACAACUUCCAUUGGUUUUGUAUUAGACAAUUCCAUGCACUUUCGCAUUCUGCCCUACUGGUGGCAGUAUUGGAUUUUUGAUCCUAUGAAGCAAUAAUAAUUUAACCAGAAGCAGGGGCCUGGAAACGAGUUUAUUGAUUGAUCAGUUGCCGUUCUAACAAAUUUAACUAUAUACAAUAGUAUUUCCAAGUCAAAGCACUCAGAAUUUUCUGACUCUGGUUGUGUGCAUGCAAGUUGUUUGAUCUCUCAAGAUCCAGAAUGAGAUGGCGAACACAAAGGCCUGCGCAAGGGUAGCAGAAGGGGCAGACGAG
rnacentral:lncRNA from 1 species